rnacentral:rRNA from 1 species
UUCGGUACUGAUCCUAGCGGCGGACGGGUGAGUAAUGCUUAGGAAUCUGCCUAUUAGUGGGGGACAACAUUCCGAAAGGAAUGCUAAUACCGCAUACGUCCUACGGGAGAACGCAGGGGAUCUUCGGACCUUGCGCUAAUAGAUGAGCCUAAGUCGGAUUAGCUAGUUGGUGGGGUAAAGGCCUACCAAGGCGACGAUCUGUAGCGGGUCUGAGAGGAUGAUCCGCCACACUGGGACUGAGACACGGCCCAGACUCCUACGGGAGGCAGCAGUGGGGAAUAUUGGACAAUGGGCGGAAGCCUGAUCCAGCCAUGCCGCGUGUGUGAAGAAGGCCUUUUGGUUGUAAAGCACUUUAAGCGAGGAGGAGGCUACCUAGAUUAAUACUCUGGGAUAGUGGACGUUACUCGCAGAAUAAGCACCGGCUAACUCUGUGCCAGCAGCCGCGGUAAUACAGAGGGUGCGAGCGUUAAUCGGAUUUACUGGGCGUAAAGCGUGCGUAGGCGGCUGAUUAAGUCGGAUGUGAAAUCCCUGAGCUUAACUUAGGAAUUGCAUUCGAUACUGGUCAGCUAGAGUAUGGGAGAGGAUGGUAGAAUUCCAGGUGUAGCGGUGAAAUGCGUAGAGAUCUGGAGGAAUACCGAUGGCGAAGGCAGCCAUCUGGCCUAAUACUGACGCUGAGGUACGAAAGCAUGGGGAGCAAACAGGAUUAGAUACCCUGGUAGUCCAUGCCGUAAACGAUGUCUACUAGCCGUUGGG